UACGUAGGUGGCAAGCGUUGUCCGGAUUUACUGGGCGUAAAGAGCGCGCAGGCGGUCGUUCAAGUCGCGUGUGAAAGCCCCCGGCUCAACUGGGGAGGGUCACGCGAUACUGAUCGACUGGAAGGCAGGAGAGGGUAGUGGAAUUCCCGGUGUAGUGGUGAAAUGCGUAGAUAUCGGGAGGAACACCAAUGGCGAAAGCAGGUAACUGGACUAUUACUGACACUAAACUACGAAAGCUAGGGGAGCAAACAGG
rnacentral:rRNA from 1 species